GGGUGCAAUCAUACCAGCACUAAUGCAUCGGAUCCUAUCAAAACUCCGCAGUUAAGCGUGCUUGGGCGAGAGUAGUACUAGGAUGGGUGACCUCCUGGGAAGUCCUCGUGUUUUACCUC
rnacentral:rRNA from 1 species